CUCAAAUGAAUUGACGGGGACCCGCACAAGCGGUGGAGCAUGUGGUUUAAUUCGACGCAACGCGAAGAACCUUACCUGGCCUUGACAUGCAGAGAACUUUCCAGAGAUGGAUUGGUGCCUUCGGGAACUCUGACACAGGUGCUGCAUGGCCGUCGUCAGCUCGUGUCGUGAGAUGUUGGGUUAAGUCCCGUAACGAGCGCAACCCCUAUCCCUAGUUGCUAGCAGGUUAUGCUGAGAACUCUAGGGAGACUGCCGGUGACAAACCGGAGGAAGGUGGGGAUGACGUCAGGUCAUCAUGGCCCUUACGGCCAGGGCUACACACGUGCUACAAUGGUGCGUACAGAGGGUUGCAAACCCGCGAGGGGGAGCUAAUCUCACAAAACGCAUCGUAGUCCGGAUCGGAGUCUGCAACUCGACUCCGUGAAGUCGGAAUCGCUAGUAAUCGUGAAUCAGAAUGUCACGGUGAAUACGUUCCCGGGCCUUGUACACACCGCCCGUCA
rnacentral:rRNA from 1 species